UUACCGGGACCGACAGCAAUAUGAAGGCCAGGCUGAAGACUUUGCCGGAUUAGCUGAGAGGUGGUGCAUGGCCGUCGUCAGUUCGUACUGUGAAGCAUCCUGUUAAGUCAGGCAACGAGCGAGACCCACGCCCACAGUUGCCAGCGUACUCUCUGGAGUGACGGGUGCACUGUGGGACCGCCGCUGCUAAAGCGGAGGAAGGAAUGGGCAACGGUAGGUCAGUAUGCCCCGAAUAUCCCGGGCUACACGCGAGCUACAAUGGUUGGUACAAUGGGUAUCUACCCCGAAAGGGGACGGGAAUCUCCUAAAACCAAUCUUAGUUCGGAUUGAGGGCUGCAACUCGCCCUCAUGAAGCUGGAAUCCGUAGUAAUCGCGUUUCAACAGAACGCGGUGAAUACGUCCCUGCUCCUU
rnacentral:rRNA from 1 species